GACGAACGCUGGCGGCGUGCUUAACACAUGCAAGUCGUACGGUAAGGCCCUUUCGGGGGUCCACGAGUGGCGAACGGGUGAGUAACACGUGAGUAACCUGCCCACAACUUUGGGAUAACGCUAGGAAACUGGUGCUAAUACUGGAUAUGUGCUCCUGCUGCAUGGUGGGGGUUGGAAAGCUCCGGCGGUUGUGGAUGGACUCGCGGCCUAUCAGCUUGUUGGUGGGGUAGUGGCCUACCAAGGCGGCGACGGGUAGCCGGCCUGAGAGGGUGACCGGCCACAUUGGGACUGAGAUACGGCCCAGACUCCUACGGGAGGCAGCAGUAGGGAAUAUUGCACAAGGGGCGCAAGCCUGAUGCAGCAACGCCGCGUGCGGGAUGACGGCCUUCGGGUUGUAAACCGCUUUCAGCAGGGACGAAGCUUUUUGUGACGGUACCUGCAGAAGAAGCACCGGCUAACUACGUG
rnacentral:rRNA from 1 species